rnacentral:tRNA from 1 species
GCCCUCGUGGUGCAAUGGAUAGCACGCAAGAUUCCGGUUCUUGAAAUUCGGGUUCGAAUCCUGACGAGGGCGUCA